rnacentral:rRNA from 1 species
UUAAGCGACUAAGCGUACACGGUGGAUGCCCUGGCAGUCAGAGGCGAUGAAGGACGUGCUAAUCUGCGAUAAGCGUCGGUAAGGUGAUAUGAACCGUUAUAACCGGCGAUUUCCGAAUGGGGAAACCCAGUGUGUUUCGACACACUAUCAUUAACUGAAUCCAUAGGUUAAUGAGGCGAACCGGGGGAACUGAAACAUCUAAGUACCCCGAGGAAAAGAAAUCAACCGAGAUUCCCCCAGUAGCGGCGAGCGAACGGGGAGCAGCCCAGAGCCUGAAUCAGUGUGUGUGUUAGUGGAAGCGUCUGGAAAGGCGCGCGAUACAGGGUGACAGCCCCGUACACAAAAAUGCACAUGCUGUGAGCUCGAUGAGUAGGGCGGGACACGUGGUAUCCUGUCUGAAUAUGGGGGGACCAUCCUCCAAGGCUAAAUACUCCUGACUGACCGAUAGUGAACCAGUACCGUGAGGGAAAGGCGAAAAGAACCCCGGCGAGGGGAGUGAAAAAGAACCUGAAACCGUGUACGUACAAGCAGUGGGAGCACGCUUAGGCGUGUGACUGCGUACCUUUUGUAUAAUGGGUCAGCGACUUAUAUUCUGUAGCAAGGUUAACCGAAUAGGGGAGCCGAAGGGAAACCGAGUCUUAACUGGGCGUUAAGUUGCAGGGUAUAGACCCGAAACCCGGUGAUCUAGCCAUGGGCAGGUUGAAGGUUGGGUAACACUAACUGGAGGACCGAACCGACUAAUGUUGAAAAAUUAGCGGAUGACUUGUGGCUGGGGGUGAAAGGCCAAUCAAACCGGGAGAUAGCUGGUUCUCCCCGAAAGCUAUUUAGGUAGCGCCUCGUGAAUUCAUCUCCGGGGGUAGAGCACUGUUUCGGCAAGGGGGUCAUCCCGACUUACCAACCCGAUGCAAACUGCGAAUACCGGAGAAUGUUAUCACGGGAGACACACGGCGGGUGCUAACGUCCGUCGUGAAGAGGGAAACAACCCAGACCGCCAGCUAAGGUCCCAAAGUCAUGGUUAAGUGGGAAACGAUGUGGGAAGGCCCAGACAGCCAGGAUGUUGGCUUAGAAGCAGCCAUCAUUUAAAGAAAGCGUAAUAGCUCACUGGUCGAGUCGGCCUGCGCGGAAGAUGUAACGGGGCUAAACCAUGCACCGAAGCUGCGGCAGCGACACUAUGUGUUGUUGGGUAGGGGAGCGUUCUGUAAGCCUGUGAAGGUGUGCUGUGAGGCAUGCUGGAGGUAUCAGAAGUGCGAAUGCUGACAUAAGUAACGAUAAAGCGGGUGAAAAGCCCGCUCGCCGGAAGACCAAGGGUUCCUGUCCAACGUUAAUCGGGGCAGGGUGAGUCGACCCCUAAGGCGAGGCCGAAAGGCGUAGUCGAUGGGAAACAGGUUAAUAUUCCUGUACUUGGUGUUACUGCGAAGGGGGGACGGAGAAGGCUAUGUUGGCCGGGCGACGGUUGUCCCGGUUUAAGCGUGUAGGCUGGUUUUCCAGGCAAAUCCGGAAAAUCAAGGCUGAGGCGUGAUGACGAGGCACUACGGUGCUGAAGCAACAAAUGCCCUGCUUCCAGGAAAAGCCUCUAAGCAUCAGGUAACAUCAAAUCGUACCCCAAACCGACACAGGUGGUCAGGUAGAGAAUACCAAGGCGCUUGAGAGAACUCGGGUGAAGGAACUAGGCAAAAUGGUGCCGUAACUUCGGGAGAAGGCACGCUGAUAUGUAGGUGAAGUCCCUCGCGGAUGGAGCUGAAAUCAGUCGAAGAUACCAGCUGGCUGCAACUGUUUAUUAAAAACACAGCACUGUGCAAACACGAAAGUGGACGUAUACGGUGUGACGCCUGCCCGGUGCCGGAAGGUUAAUUGAUGGGGUCAGCGCAAGCGAAGCUCUUGAUCGAAGCCCCGGUAAACGGCGGCCGUAACUAUAACGGUCCUAAGGUAGCGAAAUUCCUUGUCGGGUAAGUUCCGACCUGCACGAAUGGCGUAAUGAUGGCCAGGCUGUCUCCACCCGAGACUCAGUGAAAUUGAACUCGCUGUGAAGAUGCAGUGUACCCGCGGCAAGACGGAAAGACCCCGUGAACCUUUACUAUAGCUUGACACUGAACAUUGAGCCUUGAUGUGUAGGAUAGGUGGGAGGCUUUGAAGUGUGGACGCCAGUCUGCAUGGAGCCGACCUUGAAAUACCACCCUUUAAUGUUUGAUGUUCUAACGUGGACCCGUGAUCCGGGUUGCGGACAGUGUCUGGUGGGUAGUUUGACUGGGGCGGUCUCCUCCUAAAGAGUAACGGAGGAGCACGAAGGUUGGCUAAUCCUGGUCGGACAUCAGGAGGUUAGUGCAAUGGCAUAAGCCAGCUUGACUGCGAGCGUGACGGCGCGAGCAGGUGCGAAAGCAGGUCAUAGUGAUCCGGUGGUUCUGAAUGGAAGGGCCAUCGCUCAACGGAUAAAAGGUACUCCGGGGAUAACAGGCUGAUACCGCCCAAGAGUUCAUAUCGACGGCGGUGUUUGGCACCUCGAUGUCGGCUCAUCACAUCCUGGGGCUGAAGUAGGUCCCAAGGGUAUGGCUGUUCGCCAUUUAAAGUGGUACGCGAGCUGGGUUUAGAACGUCGUGAGACAGUUCGGUCCCUAUCUGCCGUGGGCGCUGGAGAACUGAGGGGGGCUGCUCCUAGUACGAGAGGACCGGAGUGGACGCAUCACUGGUGUUCGGGUUGUCAUGCCAAUGGCACUGCCCGGUAGCUAAAUGCGGAAGAGAUAAGUGCUGAAAGCAUCUAAGCACGAAACUUGCCCCGAGAUGAGUUCUCCCUGACUCCUUGAGAGUCCUGAAGGAACGUUGAAGACGACGACGUUGAUAGGCCGGGUGUGUAAGCGCAGCGAUGCGUUGAGCUAACCGGUACUAAUGAACCGUGAGGCUUAACCUU